UAUGUAGGGGGCGAGCGUUGUCCGGAUUCAUUUGGCGUAAAGAGCGCACAGGCGGUCGUUCAAGUCGCGUGUGAAAGCCCCCGGCUCAACUGGGGAGGGUCACGCGAUACUGAUCGACUCGAAGGCAGGAGAGGGUAGUGGAAUUCCCGGUGUAGUGGUGAAAUGCGUAGAUAUCGGGAGGAACACCAGUGGCGAAGGCGACUACCUGGCCUGUUCUUGACGCUGAGGCGCGAAAGCUAGGGGAG
rnacentral:rRNA from 1 species